GAACGCUGAAACCAGAUGCUUGCAUUUGGUGGAUGAGUGGCGAACGGGUGAGUAACACGUGGGUGAUCUGCCCUACACUUUGGGAUAAGCCUGGGAAACUGGGUCUAAUACCGAAUAUUCACACCAUCGUAGGGGUGGUGUGGAAAGCUUUAUGCGGUGUGGGAUGAGCCUGCGGCCUAUCAGCUUGUUGGUGGGGUAAUGGCCUACCAAGGCGUCGACGGGUAGCCGGCCUGAGAGGGUGUACGGCCACAUUGGGACUGAGACACGGCCCAGACUCCUACGGGAGGCAGCAGUGGGGAAUAUUGCACAAUGGGCGCAAGCCUGAUGCAGCGACGCCGCGUGGGGGAUSAAGGCCUUCGGGUUGUAAACUCCUUUCGCUAGGGACGAAGCCUUAUGGUGACGGUACCUGGAGAAGAAGCACCGGCUAACUACGUGCCAGCAGCCGCGGUAAUACGUAGGGUGCGAGCGUUGUCCGGAAUUACUGGGCGUAAAGAGCUCGUAGGUGGUUUGUCGCGUCGUCUGUGAAAUCCCGGGGCUUAACUUCGGGCGUGCAGGCGAUACGGGCAUAACUUGAGUGCUGUAGGGGAGACUGGAAUUCCUGGUGUAGCGGUGAAUGCGCAGAUAUCAGGAGGAA
rnacentral:rRNA from 1 species